rnacentral:rRNA from 1 species
AUUGAACGCUGGCGGCAGGCUUAACACAUGCAAGUCGAACGAGUGGCGGACGGGUGAGUAAUGCUUGGGAAUCUAGCUUAUGGAGGGGGAUAACUACGGGAAACUGUAGCUAAUACCGCGUACCAUAGGAUGAGCCCAAGUGGGAUUAGGUAGUUGGUGAGGUAAAGGCUCACCAAGCCGACGAUCUCUAGCUGGUCUGAGAGGAUGACCAGCCACACUGGGACUGAGACACGGCCCAGACUCCUACGGGAGGCAGCAGUGGGGAAUAUUGCGCAAUGGGGGCAACCUGACGCAGCCAUGCCGCGUGAAUGAAGAAGGCCUUCGGGUUGUAAAGUUCUUUCGGUAGCGAGGCGUUAAAUACAGAAGAAGCACCGGCUAACUCCGUGCCAGCAGCCGCGGUAAUUC